rnacentral:lncRNA from 1 species
AGAAUGUGAGGAAAAAAGGAAAUAUGAAGAAAAUUGAGAGAAAUUUGAGGGGAAAAUGGUGGAGAAAGUGAGGGGGAAAAAGGCGGGAAAUGUGAGGGGGGAAAAUGGCGGAAAAUCUGAGGGGAAAAUGGAGGGAAAUGUGAGGGGAAAUGGAGGGAAAUGUGAGGGGUAAAAAAAGCAGGAAAUUUGAGGGAGAAACGGAGAGAAAUUUGAGGGGGAAAUGGCAUGAAAUGUGAGGGGAAAAUGGUGGGAAAUAUGAGGGGAAAUGUGAGGGGGAAAUGGAGGGAAAUGUGAGGGGAAAAUGGCGGAAAAUUUGAGGGGGAAAUGGUGGAAAAUGUGAGGAGAAAAGGAAAUAUGAANGGUCCUGAGGGGGUGGGGAUGGAGAUACGGGAGGAUGGAGAGGUUCUGGAGGUGGUUGGAGGUGAUUGGGUGUGGCGGUGGGGGGGUUUGGAGAAGGUUGGGGUGGUCCACCAGGAGUGGUGGUGGUCAACCAAGAGUGGUGGUGGUCAGUCAAGAGUCGUGGUGGUCCACCAGGAGUCGUGGUGGUCAACCAAGAGUCGUGAAGAUCAAUCGAGAAUCAUGGUGGUCCACCAAGUGUGGUGGUGGUCAACCAAGUGUGGUGGUGGUCAAUCAAGAGUUGUGGAGGUCAACCAGGAAUCAUGGUGGUCAACCAAGAGUCGUGAAGAUCAAUCGAGAAUCAUGG